rnacentral:rRNA from 1 species
GACGAACGCUGGCGGCGUGCUUAACACAUGCAAGUCGAACGGAAAGGCCCUGCUUUUGUGGGGUGCUCGAGUGGCGAACGGGUGAGUAACACGUGAGUAACCUGCCCUUGACUUUGGGAUAACUUCAGGAAACUGGGGCUAAUACCGGAUAGGAGCUCCUGCUGCAUGGUGGGGGUUUGAAAGUUUCUGCGGUUGGGGAUGGACUCGCGGCUUAUCAGCUUGUUGGUGGGGUAGUGGCUUACCAAGGCUUUGACGGGUAGCCGGCCUGAGAGGGUGACCGGCCACAUUGGGACUGAGAUACGGCCCAGACUCCUACGGGAGGCAGUAGUGGGGAAUAUUGCACAAUGGGCGGAAGCCUGAUGCAGCAACGCCGCGUGCGGGAUGACGGCCUUCGGGUUGUAAACCGCUUUCGCCUGUGACGAAGCGUGAGUGACGGUAAUGGGUAAAGAAGCACCGGCUAACUACGUG